rnacentral:rRNA from 1 species
AGAUUGAACGCUGGCGGCAGGCCUAACACAUGCAAGUCGAGCGGUAGAGAGGUGCUUGCAUCUCUUGAGAGCGGCGGACGGGUGAGUAAUGCCUAGGAAUCUGCCUAGUGGUGGGGGAUAACGGUUCGGAAACGGACGCUAAUACCGCAUACGUCCUACGGGAGAAAGCGGGGGACCUUCGGGCCUCGCGCCAUUAGAUGAGCCUAGGUCGGAUUAGCUAGUUGGUGAGUAAUGGCUCACCAAGGCGACGAUCCGUAACUGGUCUGAGAGGAUGAUCAGUCACACUGGAACUGAGACACGGUCCAGACUCCGACGGGAGCAGCGAAGUGGGAAUAGUUGGAACAAGUGGGACGAAAGCCUAGACUCCGA